AUGAAGCCUUGUAUGGCCGCAAGUGUCGUAGUCCUCUUUGUUGGAGUGAUAUUGGUGAAUCUUGUGUUCUUGGUCCUGAAAUGAUCCAAGAAACUGUAGAACAAGUAAAACUGAUACAACAGAAAAUGAAAGCGGCACAAGAUAGACAGAAAAGUUAUGCUGAUAAAUACAGACGACAUGCAGAGUUUGAAGUCGGUGAAAAAGUACUCUUGAAAGUUUCUCCUAUAAAGGGAGUAAUGCGAUUCGGAUGAAGGGAAAGUUAAGCCCUAAAUUCAUCGGACCGUAUGAGAUCCUAGAAAGGAUAGGUGAAGUUGCCUAUAGAUUGGCAUUACCUCCAGAGAUAGCUCGAGUUCACAACGUUUUCCAUAUUUCUCAACUUCGUCGCUACAUUAGUGAUCCCUCGCAUGUACUCACACCUGAUGAAUUGCAACUAGAAGAUAACCUUUCAUAUGUUGAGGUCCCUAUGAAAAUUCUUGAUAGUAAAGUUCGAGCAACUCGGAAUGGAGAAGUUAAACUGGUGAAAGUAUUGUGGUCGAACCACAAGGACGAUGAACUUAGUUGGGAAUCCGAGGAUGCGAUGCGAGCUCAAUAUCCCCACCUAUUUCAAUAUGUACGCUUAUAGUUACGAGGACGUAACUAAUUUUUUAGGGAGGGUGGAAUUAGUAUGAUUUCAUUUCAAUUCUUAGUAUUUAAAGAUAAUUUUGACUUGUAUUAAGUGUUUGAUUCUACCUGAAAGUUAAUGGCAUGUUGAGGGUAUGCUAGUGAGAUAGUUUAUGUGCAAGUUUGAUACUAUAUAGUUAUUAUCUUUCGUACUUUAAUAAUAGAUAGUUGGCUAAACAUGUAAAGUUAAUAAUGAGUUAAAGUAAGUGAUAGGAUUUUCGCUACGAGUUUAAGAAUUUUUUCCAAGUUUCGAGGACGAAACUUAUUUUAAGAGGGGUAGAUUGUAACACCCCGAUUUUUGAAACAAUUUAUUAUUUAUUUUAUUAACUAUAUUAUAUAUUUUAGUUUAUUUAAUAAUUAAAUUCAUUUAUCUUUAGGAAUUAUUUUGUAAAUAAUUUAUAUGUUUAUAGUGGGACAAGUUUAGUAAGUAAUUUAACUAAUAAUAGUAAUAAAAGGAAAUAUACUAAGAAAGGGGAAAAGGGAAAAAUAAAACAAGAAAAGAAAAAGGAAAGAAAAAAAAAAUUUAACAUCACGUACAAAAGAAGGACAUCAAAACGGUGCUUCACCAUCUUCACCCUCUUCACCAUUUUCUUCUCUCAAAAUUCUUCCUUCAUCACACAAUCACCAUCAUUGCCGACGACACAACCACACCGCCACUAGAGGUGACACCAUAGAAGUAGGUGUCGCAAGGAAGAAAAAGGAGGGUCGUUGUUGCUGUAAUUUGGAGCAUUUGGUGCUCGAAUUAGGGGCGUUUGCAAGUUAUCUCUCAUCCCCAAUCAUCUAUAUUAGUGGAUUCCGAUUUCAUUGAGGAGCCGUAUUGACUGAGCUAGUUGGUUUGAUAUAGUUUAAAAGUAUUUUAUAUGUUUCAGGUUGAAGCCGUGAGUUAUUCUUUUGCAAGUUGAAGGGGAUACGAGAUGGUGCAGUAUUAUAAAUAUUAUUGAAGUGAGGACGCUCCACUUGUAAUAGUUAAUCGUUUAUUUUCUAUAAUUUAUUUCUUCAUUUAAGAAUCGUUAGCUAGUGCUCCUGAUUCUCUGUUGGUUGUUGCUCCGCGAAAGCGUUGAGGUUGUUCAGCUUUGGGAUUUGGAAAUAUUUUAUAAAUUGAAAUUGUAACAGGUUCAUAUUAUUUUUCGCUUUA